UACGUAGGGUGCGAGCGUUGUCCGGAAUUAUUGGGCGUAAAGAGCUCGUAGGCGGUGUGUCACGUCGGCCGUGAAAACUUGCAGCUUAACUGUGGGCGUGCGGUCGAUACGGGCAUCACUGGAGUUCGGCAGGGGAGACUGGAAUCCUGGUGUAGCGGUGAAAUGCGCAGAUAUCAGGAGGAACACCGGUGGCGAAGGCGGGGUCUCUGGGCCGAUACUGACGCUGAGGAGCGAAAGCGUAGGGGAGCAAACAGG
rnacentral:rRNA from 1 species